rnacentral:rRNA from 1 species
GUUCGGGCCGGCGGGAAAUGUAUCGUUAGGGAGCGUCCGUCAGCCCGGGCGCGCGCGGCGAGCCCAAGUCUCCCUUGAACGGUGCCACAAUCCAUAGAGGGUGCCAGGCCCGUACGGCCGCCGCCGCGCUCGAGUGGGCGUCUCCUAGGAGUCGGUCUGCUUGAGAACGCAGACCUAAGUGGGUGGUAAACUCCAUCUAAGGCUAAAUAUGACCACGAGACCGAUAGCGCACAAGUACCGUGAGGGAAAGGUGAAAAGAACUUUGAARAGAGAGUUCAAGAGUACGUGAAACUGGAGAGGUGAAAACGGAAGUGGCUCGAUAUUCCGAACGGUGGUGUUCAGUCUCACCGUCGUCGGCGCCCGCGCCCGGGAGACUCAAGGGUCCCGCGGUCCGGCGCGUCCCGGCCCCUCUGGGGUCGGGCGCGUCGCCCGGUCCCCUCCCGUCGGCGUCGGGUCCUAAUUGUCCGACGCGGUGUGGAUGCACUCGCUGCCGUAGUAGGAUGUCGCGACUCGUCGGGUGUCGGUCGCGAGGCCGGCGGAGAUUCAAGCCCGGUGUCCGUGAGACGCGCUCCCCUGGGGAGAAAUGCGCGCAGUGCGGCCCGGACUCCUGCCGUGUCCUUCUCCGACUGCCCGACGGUAUCGAAAGCACGUCGGCCGCAGCGGCCCGCUGUCACGGCCCGGUCCCCGCCCUCAGUGGCGAACCGGGCAGGCGGUGCCCCGCGACCGUGUGGGCCCUGGCGCCCCGCGGAAGCCGGCCGACUGUCUGCGGCAUUGCCUGAUUCGGGUCCACUUCCGACCCGUCUUGAAACACGGACCAAGGAGCGUAACACGUGCGCGAGUCGAAGGGUGCUACUAAACCUGGAGGCGAAGCGAAAGCGUAAGGGGCGAUGGCUCGAGUGUGUGUGCGGCGUGUUUCCCUCGGGAUCUCGUCCGCCUCCUCUCUCAGGUCGAGCUCUCCGGUUCGCCAACCCUCUCUUUAGCUCACUUGUGGGCGGGGGAGGGCCACUGGCCUCCGGAUCCGGCCGGCCCGCAGCCCCGGGGCACCUCAUACGGCUCUGCCGCUUCUACCAGACCUCAGAUUCAUGGGUUCGCUCGCGUUCUCGUCCGUUUGGCUUUCGGGCCUUCGGGCGGGGCCGGGCGGGCUCCUGGGGCCGGGGCGGCUGAGUCGAGGCGCACCUGAGAGCGUACGUGUUGUUACCCGAAAGAUGGUGAACUAUGCCUGGCCAGGACGAAGCCAGGGGAAACCCUGGUGGAAGUCCGUAGCGAUUCUGACGUGCAAAUCGAUCGUCGGAGCUGG